CGCGUAGGCGGACUAUUAAGUCAGGGGUGAAAUCCCGGGGCUCAACCCCGGAACUGCCCUUGAUACUGGUAGUCUUGAGUUCGAGAGAGGUGAGUGGAAUUCCGAGUGUAGAGGUGAAAUUCGUAGAUAUUCGGAGGAACACCAGUGGCGAAGGCGGCUCACUGGCUCGAUACUGACGCUGAGGUGCGAAAGUGUGGGGAGCAAACA
rnacentral:rRNA from 1 species